rnacentral:lncRNA from 1 species
CCACACAUACUAAUUGAACAGAGAGGUCACAUGACUUUGGCAUGACAGUAUUGAUCAGCUGUCUGGGAAUGCCAUCACAGCAGGUUAUUGAGAAACCUGACUGUCUUGAUUAAUGUGAAGUUCAUAGCCCACACGGUGGGUGGUCCUGAAGGACUUGAUGAACUGAAAGGGUUCUCAUAGCCUGGAUAACCAGGUGGUUCCUGAGGAACUUGAUGAGACCAGCAAAUGGAACGAGCACUGACAGUCAGCUCGGAAGUUAGAAAGACCACAGGAACAUCCUGGACGUGGAAAAUUUCUACCAAGGUGACAAUCAGAAAUCAGAAUCGUUGAUGGACGACUCAACACUCUAAAAGAAGCAUGUGCUAUUGUUGGACACAAGAGUUCAGGUUCAAGAUUACAUUCACCUAAACCUUUGGUUCAUCAUGAUCACUACGUUGUAGUUCAAGUCUCACAGACACUAGAAUCUAAGUGCAGAUUUCUUUAGAUCGAGUUGAGGUG